rnacentral:rRNA from 1 species
AUGGUGGGUCUCUCAAGUGCCGUGCUAUGGUGGGGAGAGUGGCAGCUGCGCAUCCUCGUGCUCAGCAGCCUCCUCGUUCAGUGGCUCCUCCUCUUCGCGUCCCUGCGUAAGCUCGCUAUCCCUUCCUGGUUCAGAUCCAUGAUAUGGCUUGCCUACAUAGGCAGCGACGCUCUGGCCAUAUACGCUCUUGCCGUCCUUUUCGGCCGUGAGAGGAGGCAAGAUUGUAACUCUGGGCAACGCAAUAGCGUUCUGGAAGUGGUGUGGGCACCAGUCCUCCUGAUGCACCUUGGCGGACAGGACGUCAUAACCGCCUACAACAUCGAAGAUAAUGAGCUAUGGACGCGGCAUGUCCUCACCGCCGUGUCGCAGAUCACCGUAGCCGUCUACGUGUUCUGCAAAUCAUGGCCAGGCGGCGACAAGAGGUUGUUGCAGGCCGCAAUCUUGUUCUUCAUCCCUGGGAUCCUCAAAUGCAUAGAGAAGCCCUGGGCUCUCAAGAGCGCCAGCAUAAACAGCCUAGUCAGCUUUUCCAGCCCCGCUCCAAGGAGGACCGCAAACAGAGAAGGCGAGAUCAGUUCGCUCGAAGACUACGUGCAAAAAGCAAGGGCUUUUGUCCAGGCUGACCCUUGUCAUCAAGCACAAGAAGGUGAUGCGGCGGACCUUGAGGCCAACAACCAUGUUCCUGAUCAAGCACAAGGAGAAGAUGAUGUGGUGGAUCUUGAGCCCGACCAUGGAUCUCAGACGCCAAGCACACAGACAAGUAGAGGCCAAGUUGAUGACUAUAAUGUGGACCUUGAGGUCUAUAAGCUAUUUGUGGACCUUGCAUCGCCCUAUCCUGAUUGA